rnacentral:misc_RNA from 1 species
UCCGGCUUUCACCGGCUGUCUCGCCAGAGUGCCCAUCCGAAAUGCUGGCAACUGGCGAUAAGGGUUGCGCUCGUUGCGGGACUUAACCCAACACCUCACGGCACGAGCUGACGACAGCCAUUCAGCACCUGUGCUGGCUACCCUUGCGGGUUCAUCCCCGUUUCCGGUUCUUACCACCAGCAUGUCAAACCUGGGUAGGGUUCUUCGCGUUGCGUCGAAUUAAACCACAUGCACCACCGCUUGUGCGGGCCCCCGUCAAUUCCUUUGAGUUUUAGCCUUGCGGCCGUACUCCCCAGGCGGGGCGCUUAAUGCGUUAGCUGCGGCACAGAGAACCGGAGAGGCCCCCCACACCUAGCGCCCAACGUUUACGGCGUGGACUAC